rnacentral:rRNA from 1 species
GACGGAGGGUGCAAGCGUUAUUCGGAAUUAUUGGGCGUAAACAGCGUGUAGGCGGCCGGUUAAGUCAGGUGUGAAAGCCCGGGGCUCAACCUCGGAAGUGCACUUGAUACUGGUCGGCUUGAGUUCGGGAGAGGGAAGCGGAAUUCCUGGUGUAGAGGUGAAAUUCGUAGAUAUCAGGAGGAACAUCGGUGGCGAAGGCGGCUUCCUGGACCGAAACUGACGCUGAGACGCGAAAGCGUGGGGAGCAAACAGG